rnacentral:rRNA from 1 species
GAUGAACGCUGGCGGCGUGCCUAAUACAUGCAAGUCGAGCGAACGGACGAGAAGCUUGCUUCUCUGAUGUUAGCGGCGGACGGGUGAGUAACACGUGGAUAACCUACCUAUAAGACUGGGAUAACUUCGGGAAACCGGGGCUAAUACCGGAUAAUAUUUUGAACCGCAUGGUUCAAAAGUGAAAGACGGUCUUGCUGUCACUUAUAGAUGGAUCCGCGCUGCAUUAGCUAGUUGGUAAGGUAACGGCUUACCAAGGCAACGAUGCAUAGCCGACCUGAGAGGGUGAUCGGCCACCCUGGAACUGAGACACGGUCCAGACUCCUACGGGAGGCAGCAGUCGGGAAUCUUCCGCAAUGGGCGAAAGCCUGACGGAGCAACGCCGCGUGAGUGAUGAAGGUCUUCGGAUCGUAAAACUCUGUUAUUAGGGAAGAACAUAUGUGUAAGUAACUGUGCACAUCUUGACGGUACCUAAUCAGAAAGCCACGGCUAACUACGUG